rnacentral:rRNA from 1 species
GAAGGGGAGGGCAAGCGUUAUUCAUAAUAAUUGGGCGUAAAGGGCUUGUAGGUGGCUAUGGCAAAACCGUCUAGUAAACCACGCACAUCCGUGCGACUCGGGCGGCAUAAGUUCCAAGCUUGAGUCCGGGGGAGGGGUUCGGAACUCACGGUGUAGGGGUAAAAUCCAUUGACAUCGUUGGGGACCACCAUUUGGCGAAAGCAGUUCCCCAUUCCGGUACUGACGCUGAGAGGCUAAAGCUUGGGAAUCGAACGGG